CAAUCGAGUGGUUCCUCCUACAAUAAUUUGUGUGCUAACGAGUUUUAGGUUUUAACUGAAAAAUUUCUGAUUUCUGGAAGAAAAAGAGAAUUUAAAUACCACUGACCGACACGCAAACAAAAGAAGACUGGGAAAUUUUAAAAUGUACGCAAACUAGUUGUAGCACUUAUUCUUUAAUCAGUUUAAUCUAUACAUUCGCAUAAAGAAGCAUUGAUACAC